rnacentral:rRNA from 1 species
UACAGAGGGUGCUAGCGUUGUUCGGAAUCAUUGGGCGUAAAGGGCGUGUAGGCGGUUUGUUAAGUCAUGUGUGAAAUCCCUCGGCUCAACCGGGGAACGACGCAUGAAACUGGCAAGCUAGAGUACCAAAGAGGGGGGUGGAAUUCCCGGUGUAGCGGUGAAAUGCGUAGAUAUCGAGAGGAACACCUGCGGCGAAGGCGGGUUGCUGGGCUGACACUGACGCUGAAGUGCGAAAGCUAGGGGAGCGAACGGG